rnacentral:rRNA from 1 species
UACGUAGGGGGCGAGCGUUGUCCGGAUUUAUUGGGCGUAAAGAGCUCGUAGGCGGCUUGGCAAGUCGGGUGUGAAACCUCCAGGCUCAACCUGGAGACGCCACUCGAUACUGCUAUGGCUAGAGUCCGGUAGGGGACCACGGAAUUCCUGGUGUAGCGGUGAAAUGCGCAGAUAUCGGGAGGAACACCGGUGGCGAAGGCGGUUCUCUGGGCCUUACCUGACGCUGAGGAGCGAAAGCGUGGGGAGCGAACAGG